rnacentral:rRNA from 1 species
GAUGAACGCUGGCGGCGUGCCUAACACAUGCAAGUCGAACGGACUUACAUUGAAGCCUAGCGAUAUGUAAGUUAGUGGCGGACGGGUGAGUAACGCGUGGGUAACCUGCCUUGUACUGGGGGACAACAGUUGGAAACGACUGCUAAUACCGCAUAAGCGCACAGCUUCGCAUGAAGCAGUGUGAAAAACUCCGGUGGUACAAGAAGGACCCGCGUCUGAUUAGCUGGUUGGUGAGGUAAAGGCCCACCAAGGCGACGAUCAGUAGCCGGCCUGAGGAGGUGAACGGCCACAUUGGGACUGAGACACGGCCCAAACGCCUACGGGAGGCAGCAGUGGGGAAUAUUGCACAAUGGGGGAAACCCUGAUGCAGCAACGCCGCGUGAGUGAAGAAGUAUUUCGGUAUGUAAAGCUCUAUCAGCAGGAAAGAAAAUGACGGUACCUGACUAAGAAGCCCCGGCUAACUACGUGCCAGCAGCCGCCGUAA